GACGAACGCUUGCGGCGUGCUUAACACAUGCAAGUCGAACGGAAAGGCCCUGCUUUUGUGGGGUGCUCGAGUGGCGAACGGGUGAGUAACACGUGAGUAACCUGCCCUUGACUUUGGGAUAACUUCAGGAAACUGGGGCUAAUACCGGAUAGGAGCUCCUGCUGCAUGGUGGGGGUUGGAAAGUUUCGGCGGUUGGGGAUGGACUCGCGGCUUAUCAGCUUGUUGGUGGGGUAGUGGCUUACCAAGGCUUUGACGGGUAGCCGGCCUGAGAGGGUGACCGGCCACAUUGGGACUGAGAUACGGCCCAGACUCCUACGGGAGGCAGCAGUGGGGAAUAUUGCACAAUGGGCGGAAGCCUGAUGCAGCAACGCCGCGUGCGGGAUGACGGCCUUCGGGUUGUAAACCGCUUUCGCCUGUGACGAAGCGUGAGUGACGGUAAUGGGUAAAGAAGCACCGGCUAACUACGUGCCAGCAGCCGCGGUGAUACGUAGGGUGCGAGCGUUGUCCGGAUUUAUUGGGCGUAAAGGGCUCGUAGGUGGUUGAUCGCGUCGGAAGUGUAAUCUUGGGGCUUAACCCUGAGCGUGCUUUCGAUACGGGUUGACUUGAGGAAGGUAGGGGAGAAUGGAAUUCCUGGUGGAGCGGUGGAAUGCGCAGAUAUCAGGAGGAACACCAGUGGCGAAGGCGGUUCUCUGGGCCUUUCCUGACGCUGAGGAGCGAAAGCGUGGGGAGCGAACAGGCUUAGAUACCCUGGUAGUCCACGCUGUAAACGGUGGGUACUAGGUGUGGGGUCCAUUCCACGGGUUCCGUGCCGUAGCUAACGCUUUAAGUACCCCGCCUGGGGAGUACGGCCGCAAGGCUAAAACUCAAAGGAAUUGACGGGGCCCCGCACAAGCGGCGGAGCAUGCGGAUUAAUUCGAUGCAACGCGUAGAACCUUACCUGGGUUUGACAUGGAUCGGGAGUGCUCAGAGAUGGGUGUGCCUCUUUUGGGGUCGGUUCACAGGUGGUGCAUGGCUGUCGUCAGCUCGUGUCGUGAGAUGUUGGGUUAAGUCCCGCAACGAGCGCAACCCUUGUUCACUGUUGCCAGCACGUUAUGGUGGGGACUCAGUGGAGACCGCCGGGGUCAACUCGGAGGAAGGUGGGGAUGACGUCAAGUCAUCAUGCCCCUUAUGUCCAGGGCUUCACGCAUGCUACAAUGGCUGGUACAGAGAGUGGCGAGCCUGUGAGGGUGAGCGAAUCUCGGAAAGCCGGUCUCAGUUCGGAUUGGGGUCUGCAACUCGACCUCAUGAAGUCGGAGUCGUUAGUAAUCGCAGAUCAGCAACGCUGCGGUGAAUACGUUCCCGGGGCU
rnacentral:rRNA from 1 species